rnacentral:rRNA from 1 species
UACGAAGGGGGCUAGCGUUGUUCGGAAUUACUGGGCGUAAAGCGCGCGUAGGCGGUUUUGCAAGCCAGAGGUGAAAUGCCUGAGCUCAACUUAGGAAUUGCCUUUGGGACUGCGAGGCUUUGAGGACUGGAGAGGUGAGUGGAAUUCCCAGUGUAGAGGUGAAAUUCGUAGAUAUUGGGAAGAACACCGGUGGCGAAGGCGGCUCACUGGCCAGUUUCUGACGCUGCAGCGCGGAAAGCGUGGGGAUCAAACAGGAUUGAG